GGCUCCUUGUAAUAUACAAAUAAGGAGUCGGACCUGCCCAGUGAAUUUUCAACGGCCGCGGUACUCUGACCGUGCAAAGGUAGCAUAAUCAUUUGCCUUAUAAUUGAAGGCUUGUAUGAAUGGUUUGACAAGAAUAUAGCUGUCUCUUUAUAAUUAAAUAGAAUUUUAUUUAUAGGUGAAGAAGCCUAUAUAGUAUUGAAAGACAAGAAGACCCUAUCGAGCUUGAAAGAAAUUAAUAAAUUCUAUAUAUUCAAUAUAAUUUAAAAAAUUAAUUAUUAAAAAUUUUGGUUGGGGCGACUAAGGAACAAACAAAGCUUCCUUUAUUUUAGUAAUACAACCAAGUAAAGAUCCAAAAACUUUGAUUAAAGGAAUUAGUUACCGUAGGGAUAACAGCAUUAUCUUUUUUGAGAGCUCUAAUCGAAAAAAAGGUUUGUGACCUCGAUGUUGGACCAGAAUAUCCUAAAGAUGCAGCCGUCUUUAAGGGUUGGUCUGUUCGACCAUUAAAAUUCUACGUGAUCUGAGUUCAGACCGGCGUGAGCCAGGUCAGUUUCUAUCUUCAAUUUUUAAAAUAAGUUUAGUACGAAAGGACCAAUUUAUUACAACAUAUUUGUUAUAUUUAGAUGAAAUAUAAAGAAAAAUUAAAUAAUUAAUAUAAUCAAAUUAGCAAAGAUAAUGCAAUUGACUUAGGAUCAAUAGACAUAGGUGAAAUCCCUUUAUUUGAUAAAAUAUAAAGGUGGCAGAUUAA
rnacentral:rRNA from 1 species